rnacentral:rRNA from 1 species
CAGUAGCCACGGUAAUACGAAGGUCCCAAGCGUUGUUCGGAAUCACUGGGCGUAAAGGGAGCGUAGGCGGCGUGGUAAGUCAGAUGUGAAAUCCCGGGGCUCAACCCCGGAACUGCAUCCGAUACUGCCAUGCUCGAGGGUUGGAGAGGUGACUGGAAUUCUCGGUGUAGCAGUGAAAUGCGUGGAUAUCGAGAGGAACACUCGUGGCGAAGGCGAGUCACUGGACAACAUCUGACGCUGAGGCUCGAAGGCUAGGGUAGCGAAAGGGAUUAGAGACCCCGGUAGUCCCUGUCUCUUAUAC